rnacentral:rRNA from 1 species
CGGAACAACGGGAGCGAGCGGGCGUGGUAAUACGUUGGGUGGGAGCGUUGAGACGAAUUACGGGGCGUGAAGCGUGCGCAGGCGGUUAUGUAAGACAGAGGGGAAAUCCCCGGGCUCAAGCUGGGAACUGCCUUUGUGACUGCAGGGCUAGAGUGCGGCAGAGGGGGAUGGAAGUCCGCGUGUAGCAGUGAAAUGCGUAGAUAUGCGGAGGAACACCGAUGGCGAAGGCAAUCCCCUGGGCCUGCACUGACGCUCAUGCACGAAAGCGUGGGGAGCAAACAGGAUUAGAUACCCGUGAGUC